rnacentral:rRNA from 1 species
AGUGAACGCUGGCGGCGUGCCUAAUACAUGCAAGUCGAGCGAAUGGAUUAAGAGCUUGCUCUUAUGAAGUUAGCGGCGGACGGGUGAGUAACACGUGGGUAACCUGCCCAUAAGACUGGGAUAACUCCGGGAAACCGGGGCUAAUACCGGAUAACAUUUUGAACCGCAUGGUUCGAAAUUGAAAGGCGGCUUCGGCUGUCACUUAUGGAUGGACCCGCGUCGCAUUAGCUAGUUGGUGAGGUAACGGCUCUCCAAGGCAACGAUGCGUAGCCGACCUGAGAGGGUGAUCGGCCACACUGGGACUGAGACACGGCCCAGACUCCUACGGGAGGCAGCAGUAGGGAAUCUUCCGCAAUGGACGAAAGUCUGACGGAGCAACGCCGCGUGAGUGAUGAAGGCUUUCGGGUCGUAAAACUCUGUUGUUAGGGAAGAACAAGUGCUAGUUGAAUAAGCUGGCACCUUGACGGUACCUAACCAGAAAGCCACGGCUAACUACGUGCCAGCCGCCGCAGUAA